AGCCAACAAUUCAUGGAAUGUGUUUCAUGACCCCUAAGUAAACCCACUAAAUGCAUACAUGAAUCAUCUUGCUUGGCCAGAUCCUGCAAAGUUGGACCCGUUCAAGACUCAAAACUCAAGAGGACUUUUGAUUAAAACUAAAUAAUGUUAUCCUAAACAAAUGUUAGGAUUUCCACAAUACCCGGGAUAUCUGAGAAGCAAACCACAGUGGACUUCAUACAAAUAAAUGCUGCAAAGUAAUAUUCAUUCAGUCUGAAUAUUCUAAAGUUAAAUUCAAUAAAUUCAUUAAAAAUA